UGGGGAAUAUUGGACAAUGGGCGAAAGCCUGAUCCAGCCAUGCCGCGUGUGUGAAGAAGGUAUUCGGAUUGUAAAGCACUUUAAGUUGGGAGGAAGGGCAGUAAGCGAAUACCUUGCUGUUUUGACGUUACCGACAGAAUAAGCACCGGCUAACUCUGUGCCAGCAGCCGCGGUAAUACAGAGGGUGCAAGCGUUAAUCGGAAUUACUGGGCGUAAAGCGCGCGUAGGUGGUUCGUUAAGUUGAAUGUGAAAGCCCCGGGCUCAACCUGGGAACUGCAUCCAAAACUGGCGAGCUAGAGUAGGGCAGAGGGUGGUGGAAUUUCCUGUGUAGCGGUGAAAUGCGUAGAUAUAGGAAGGAACACCAGUGGCGAAGGCGACCACCUGGGCUCAUACUGACACUGAUGUGCGAAAGCGUGGGGAGCAAACAGG
rnacentral:rRNA from 1 species